GUUGUUCACAAGAUAAAGUCUUCAAUUUCUCCCGCAACAUUCCAAAAGGAGUUAUUAUGCCAAAGGUAUAUUUCAAUUAAAAGAUGUUACAUCAGAGGGAAAGAUAAAUGAACCCCUAAAAUCUACUAUUGCGAUACAUAUAGCACAGCUUAAAGAGUAUUCCAAAGACCUAAUCUUCCCCUGCACCGGAGCAGCUUCAUCAGGCAAUGAAGAGGUCCUCGAGGUAUAAACACAGAAGGAUAUCAGCCAAGGGAUUCUC